GGCUCGUUGGUUUAGGGGUAUGAUUCUUGCUUAGGGUGCGAUAGGUCCCAGGUUCAGAUCCCGGACUAGCCC